GGUUGCCUGGGGUGUUUGACAGAAAACUCAUAUCCCUGAGCCGAUAAUACUUACCCAGGAAUGCAUUUUCCGUUCUAUUGCGCAAGCUCGGCUAGUCUUUGGCUAGUAAUCGAGAAGCCUACGGAACAGAAAUGUGCUCCGCCUUGAACAAUUCGGCGUUCAAGGUUUUAGUUUUCAUCGGCACCUUGGGGACCAC
rnacentral:other from 1 species